GCUUUCGUGGUGUACUGGUCAGCACGCUCGGCGCGUAUUCGAGAGGUCCAUGGUUCGAGUCCCAGCGAGGGCA
rfam:Stegodyphus mimosarum contig105527, whole genome shotgun sequence.